UUUAGUCUAGACCAGUGGUUCUCAACCUGUGGGUCCCCAGAUGUUGUUGGACUACAACUCCCAUCAUCCCUAGGGAGUUGUAGUCCAACAACGUCUGGGGACCCACAGGUUGAGAACCACUGGUCUAGAU